rnacentral:rRNA from 1 species
UACGAAGGGGGCUAGCGUUGCUCGGAAUCACUGGGCGUAAAGCGCACGUAGGCGGCACAGCAAGUCGGGUGUGAAAGCCCUCGGCUUAACCGAGGAAGUGCAUUCGAAACUACUGAGCUUGAAUACUGGAGAGGAUCGCGGAAUUCCCGGUGUAGAGGUGAAAUUCGUAGAUAUCGGGAGGAACACCAGUGGCGAAGGCGGCGAUCUGGACAGAUAUUGACGCUGAUGUGCGAAAGCGUGGGGAGCAAACAGG